rnacentral:rRNA from 1 species
ACAACAGUGAUGCCCUUAGUAAUGGCGAAUGAAACGGGCAUAGCCCAGCACCGAACCGCCGGCCUUGCUAAAGGGUCGCGUGGAAUGUGGUGUUUGGGAGAGCCUUCUCGUGAUGUGUGGUUGAUCCGUCCAAGUCCACCUUGACUGGGGCCACUGCCCAAAGAGGGUGAUAGGCCCGUAGGAUGGUGCACACAUUAUGCUGGCUUCUUCCCUAGAGUCGAGUUGCUUGGGAGUGCAGCUCAAAGUGCGUGGUAAACUCCACGUAAGGCUAAAUAUCACCCCGAGACCGAUAGCGAACAAGUACCGUGAGGGAAAGUUGAAAAGAACUUUGAAGAGAGAGUUCAAUAGUACGUGAAACUGUGUAUCGGUAAACGGAGGGGCUCUCGAAGUCCGAGUCGGAGAUUCAGGUUGACGGCAUUUUUGGAGCAGCCUUUCAUGUAUUUUUAUUUUUUUUGCUGCUGUAACAGGUGGUGAGAAAAAUGGGAUCUGCAAAGACCCUGCGUGAAACAAGUUGCUUCGCUGGCGACUGCACUUCUUUGGCUCUGUCAAAUUGGACGCGACGUAUCACUGAGAGUGAACCUACACUUGGAAGAGAAGUUUGCUUCUAGUAAACAUUUUAUUAUGUUUUUCUUUUAGUAAGCCUUUCAAGACUUGGGCUUCACGCUCGGUGGUGGAUAGUUUUUGGAGUCAUAAUGGGCUCGUUAUAACGAGCGUUGGCUCAAAAAAACGCAGCCUAGACUUUAAACUGUCGCGAGUAGGUCGGUGGCCCCUCCGACCCGUCUUGAAACACGGACCA